GACGAACGCUGGCGGCGUGCUUAACACAUGCAAGUCGAACGGAAAGGCCCUGCUUUUGUGGGGUGCUCGAGUGGCGAACGGGUGAGUAACACGUGAGUAACCUGCCCUUGACUUUGGGAUAACUUCAGGAAACUGGGGCUAAUACCGGAUAGGAGCUCCUGCUGCAUGGUGGGGGUUGGAAAGUUUCGGCGGUUGGGGUUGGACUCGCGGCUUAUCAGCUUGUUGGUGGGGUAGUGGCUUACCAAGGCUUUGACGGGUAGCCGGCCUGAGAGGGUGACCGGCCCCAUUGGGACUGAGAUACGGCCCAGACUCCUACGGGAGGCAGCAGUGGGGAAUAUUGCACCAUGGGCGGAAGCCUGAUGCAGCAACGCCGCGUGCGGGAUGACGGCCUUCGGGUUGUAAACCGCUUUCGCCUGUGACGAAGCGGGAGUGACGGUAAUGGGUAAAGAAGCACCGGCUAACUACGUG
rnacentral:rRNA from 1 species